AGAGUUUGAUCAUGGCUCAGGAUGAACGCUAGCUACAGGCUUAACACAUGCAAGUCGAGGGGAAACGACAUCGAAAGCUUGCUUUUGAUGGGCGUCGACCGGCGCACGGGUGAGUAAUGCGUAUCCAACCUGCCCAUCACUUGGGGAUAACCUUGCGAAAGUAAGACUAAUACCCAAUGAUAUCUCUAGAAGGCAUCUGAAAGAGAUUAAAGAUUUAUCGGUGAUGGAUGGGGAUGCGUCUGAUUAGCUUGUUGGCGGGGUAACGGCCACCAAAGCAACGAUCAGUAGGGGUUCUGAGAGGAAGGUCCCCCACAUUGGAACUGAGACACGGUACCAAACUCCGUACGGGAGGCA
rnacentral:rRNA from 1 species